ACCAACGCAUCCAUCCCCAGAGGAACAAGCGAGGAUCUCAGAGCGCGACCUGGACAGGCUCUCACAAAAGUCACCGCGUUUGUGUAGGUAACUAAGGCCUACCGAAACCAGUCAGCCCUAAGUGCACACAGGAGAACCAUGGAGUUGGAGGAAAAGGCACUCAAUGGAUUGGAUAAUGCCUGCCCACAUUAGUGAGAGUGGAUAUUUUUACUCAGCCUACUGAUUCAAAUGCUAGUCUCUUCUGGAAACAUCCUCACAGACACACUCAGAAAUAAUGUUUUACCAGCUAUCUAGCCAUCCCUUAACCCAGUCAAGUUGACACAUAAAAUUAACCAUUACACCCUCCAAAAUAUUCUUAUUUUGAAAUUCUCGCCCCCAGUACUUCAGAAUGUGAUCUUAUUCUUUAAAAGGAUCCUUGCAGAUGUAAUGAAGUUAAGAUAAGCUCAUUAGGGUGGGCUGUAAUCUAAUAUGGCUGGUAUCCUUAUAAGAAGGCACGUAGACACACAAAGAGAAGAUGGGUGUAUGACACAGGACACAGAGAUUGAAGCGUAACAGUUGCAAGCCAAGGAUUGUCAAGGAUUUCCAGCAAGCAACCAGAAGCUAGGAAGAACCAAGGAGGGAUCUCCCCACAUGAGCCUUCAGAGAGAGAGCAUGGCCUUGCCAACACCUUGGUUUUGGACUUCCAGCCUUCAGAACUGCGCGAUAAUAAAUUUCUGUUGGUUUAAGGUAA
ensembl:lncRNA PCAT1 prostate cancer associated transcript 1